GGCGCUAUAGUGUAGUGGUUAUCACUUGGGAUUCUGAUUAGUCAGCGGUUCCCAAGACCCAGGUUCGAUCCCUGGUAGUGCCU